GGCCAUGUCGACGCGGAACUGUCCGUUA
rnacentral:sRNA from 1 species